GAGUUUGAUCCUGGCUCAGAACGAACGCUGGCGGCGUGCUUAACACAUGCAAGUCGAACGUGAUCCAGAGCUUGCUCUGGUGAAAGUGGCGCACGGGUGAGUAACGCGUGGAUAACCUGCCCUGGUAUCUGGGAUAACAUCUCGAAAGGGGUGCUAAUACCGGAUAAGCCUACGGACUCCUCGGAGUCUGCAGGAAAAGGAGGCCUCUAUUUAUAAGCUUCCGUAUCAUGAUGGGUCCGCGUACCAUUAGCUAGUUGGUGGGGUAAUGGCCUACCAAGGCGACGAUGGUUAGCUGGUCUGAGAGGAUGACCAGCCACACUGGAACUGAGACACGGUCCAGACUCCUACGGGAGGCAGCAGUGGGGAAUUUUGCGCAAUGGGGGAAACCCUGACGCAGCAACGCCGCGUGAGUGAUGAAGGCUUUCGGGUCGUAAAGCUCUGUCAGAGGGGAAGAAAUGAAACGUGCUAAUAUCACGUUUUCUUGACGGUACCCUCAAAGGAAGCACCGGCUAACUCCGUGCCAGCAGCCGCGGUAAUACAAGGGCGMMYY
rnacentral:rRNA from 1 species